UUAUUCGGUUCUCCAGCCAUUGACUUAAGUUUAGUUUAAUAUUAAUUUAUAUCUAUUAGCGGGAGUUUAGUCAAUAAUAGAACAUUAAGUAAUGUAUAAUUUAUUUAUAUUAUGUAAAAUGUAUAAAUAAAAUACUUUAUUAUAGUGUUAAUAAUGAAAACUUGUAGUUACUGAAAGAUAAGAGAGAGAAUCGGACAAGGUGUAGCGUGUCAACAUCAACCAAGGUGGACGUCUUGUUUAUUGUUGUUAAUUUUGUUAGUAAAUGUUAAUUUGUGGGCCUUCCUCCCUCCCUCGUGUGUACGGCUCCAAUUGGUUGUUGCUGUAGUGUUAAGACAACUACCAUAUUGCUGCCUCGCUGAUCGUGGUUAAUGAAGUUCCUCAUGUCAUUCGUCGAGGACGGUGACGUGGAGAUGUAAGAUAUGGGCCACAAGACGAAGGUUUGUUUUGGUUAACGGGUCUCUUGCUGCACCACAUUGGAAACUUUCUGUUAUAACAUAAGGUACAGUACAGUGUAUAUCUUUGUGGUUUUAGUUUUUAUUAAGGAUCUGGGAUCACCGUUUAAAAAUUCAAGUAAUUGUGUUAAUGACCUUUGAAAUAAUUAGAUAUUUUAAGUAGAUUACGCUGUGCCCGUAAGUUUUAAAAAGCCUUUAUGGAUGGUCUUAAAUAUGUUGACCAUCUUUACUGUAUGAAGUUAGUUUCACGUCAAAAUAUUUGUCAAAUAUGCCUGACCUAAUACCUUUGUCUUUAGCACUUGUGGUAAAAAAAUAGUUUAAAUAUCCUACAAAGGUACAGGGUACUACUUUACCUGAUUUUAAAUCUAGUUUCACAAAUUAGUUUUUGUGUUAAUGACUUUUUGAAACAAUUAGAUAUCUAAAGUAGAUUACUUAGGAUUUGCCCGUAUUUUUUAAAAGGCCUUCAUAUACGUUUUAUAAAUAAUAUAGACUAUUGGGGUGUCGACUGCAUGGAAAAGCCAGGAAACUUUACAAACAAAUGGGGUAUUAUAUUUGGGUCAAAUUAUACAGUGACCCCUCGUUUAACGAACUGAAUCCGUUCCAGAAGGUCGUUCGUUAACCA